rnacentral:rRNA from 1 species
CACGUAGGGUGCGAGCGUUGUCCGGAAUUAUUGGGCGUAAAGAGCUCGUAGGCGGUGUGUCGCGUCGGCCGUGAAAACCUGCAGCUUAACUGUGGGCUUGCGGUCGAUACGGGCAUCACUGGAGUUCGGCAGGGGAGACUGGAAUUCCUGGUGUAGCGGUGAAAUGCGCAGAUAUCAGGAGGAACACCGGUGGCGAAGGCGGGUCUCUGGGCCGAUGACUGACGCUGAUGCGCGAAAGCCAGGGGAGCGAA